rnacentral:rRNA from 1 species
CUUGUCCCCUAAAUAGGGACUAGUAUGAACGGCUAAAUGAGGAUUAAACUGUCUCUUGUAAUUAACCUAUGAAACUGAUCUUGUAGUCCAAAAGCUACAAUACAAACACCAGACGAGAAGACCCUGUGGAGCUUUUAAACCAAAGCCAAAUAAAUGCCCCUUGGUUUUUAGUUGGGGCAACUUCGGAGCACAAACAAACCUCCGACAAACCACAAGUCGAGACAAACAAGUCAAUACUUAUACCUGACCCAAUAGUCUGACCUAAACUAUUUGACCAAUGAACCAAGUUACCCCAGGGAUAACAGCGCUAUCCUCUUUUAGAGUCCCUAUCGACAAGAGGGCUUACGACCUCGAUGUUGGAUCAGGACACCCCAAUAAUGCAGCCGUUAUUAAAGGUUCGUUUGUUCAACGAUUAAA